rnacentral:rRNA from 1 species
CUGGUUGAUCCUGCCAGAGGUUACUGCUAUCGGGGUCCGAUUAAGCCACGCGAGUUGAGAGGGGUAAGCCCUCGGCAUACUGCUCAGUAACACGCGGACAACCUGCCCUUGGGUCUGGGAUAACCCCGGGAAACUGGGACUAAUACCGGAUAGAUCAGAGAUACUGGAAUGUUUUCUGGUUCAAAACUCCGGUGCCCAAGGAUGGGUCUGCGGCCUAUCAGGUAGUAGUGGGUGUAACGUACCUACUAGCCAGCGACGGGUAAGGGUUGUGAGAGCAAGAUCCCUGAGAUGGAUUCUGAGACAUGAAUCCAGGCCCUACGGGGUGCAGCAGGCGCGAAAACUUUACACUGCGGGAAACCGCGAUAAGGGGACCCCGAGUGCCAGCACCUAGUGCUGGCUGUCCUACUGUCUAAAUAACAGUGGUUAGCAAGGGCCGGGCAAGACCGGUGCCAGCCGCCGCGGUAACACCGGCGGCCCGAGUGGUAACCGACUUUAUUGGGUUUAAAGGGUCCGUAGCCGGCUUACUAAGUCUUUUGGGAAAUCUGGCGGCUCAAUCGUCAGGCGUCCAAGAGAUACUGGUAGGCUUGGGACCGGGAGAGGUGGGAGGUACUCCAGGGGUAGGGGUGAAAUCUCGUAAUCCUUGGGGGACCACCGAUGGCGAAGGCAUCCCACCAGAACGGGUCCGACGGUGAGGGACGAAAGCUGGGGGCACGAACCGGAUUAGAUACCCGGGUAGUCCCAGCUGUAAACGAUGCUCGCUAGGUGUCAGGUGCGGUGCGACCGCAUCUGGUGCCGCAGUGAAAACUUGAAGCGAGUCACCUGGGAAGUACGGUCGCAAGGCUGAAACUUAAAGGAAUUGGCGGGGGAGCACUACAACGGGUGGAGCCUGCGGUUCAAUUGGAUUCAACGCCGG